rnacentral:rRNA from 1 species
AGUCAUACGCUCGUCUCAAAGAUUAAGCCAUGCAUGUGUAAGUAUAAAUAUUUAACUUUGAAACUGCGAAUGGCUCAUUAUAUCAGUUAUAGUUUAUUUGAUGAAAAGUACUACUUGGAUAACCGUAGUAAUUCUAGAGCUAAUACAUGAUAAAAUCCUCGACUUUGAAGAGGUGUAUUUAUUAGAAUGAAACCAAUAGACUUCGGUCUGUUUGUGAGUAAUAAUAACUAAUCGUAUCGCAUGCUUAGGUAGCGAUAUGUCUUUCAAGUUUCUGCCCUAUCAGCUUUGGAUGGUAGUGUAUUGGACUACCAUGGCAGUAACGGGUAACGAAGAAUUUGGGUUCGAUUUCGGAGAGGGAGCCUGAGAGAUGGCUACCACAUCCAAGGAAGGCAGCAGGCGCGUAAAUUACCCAAUCCUGACAUAGGGAGGUAGUGACAAUAAAUCACAAUGCGGAACUAUUAGUUUUGCAAUUGGAUUGAGAACAAUGUACAAAUGUUAUCGAUA